rnacentral:rRNA from 1 species
AACGGAGGUGGCUAGCGUUACUCGGAUUUACUGGGCGUAAAGCGUGCGCAGGCGGCCCGUUAAGACAGGUGUGAAAUCCCUGGGCUCAACCUAGGAAUUGCGCUUGUGACUGGCGGGCUCGAGUACGGUAGAGGGGGGUGGAAUUCCUGGUGUAGCAGUGAAAUGCGUAGAGAUCAGGAGGAACACCGAUGGCGAAGGCAGCCCCCUGGGCCUGUACUGACGCUCAUGCACGAAAGCGUGGGGAGCAAACAGG